CAUAAAAACAAGUUGUUAUUAUGUGAGGGUGUAGCUGUCAGUAUAAAAGAUGGGUGAGUAAGCAACUGAGCAGCAAAGCGCAAGAAGCUAGCAGCAGUGCUAAGGAGAUUACAGAAACAACAGUGAUACUGUACUGAAAGAGAUUUGAUUUAAAGGUCUAAAGAAGUUGAUGCAGAAGCCAAGGUCUGCGUGGACAUAACAAACCUGUGUUGAGCUUCAAAAUAUCAAAGCCUCAACUAUAAAAGGUGAUUCUCAUUUUCAUCAGGAGUUAAUACCAGGAAAACCUCAGCUAUUGCUGCCAGCUGGAUCUGACCUCAUCUUGUGACUGGUCUGGCUCUAAAACCACUGACAGUUUUGGGGAUAUGUCACCGGAGCUCUGCAUGAAGAGAAGAGGGUGCAAGACUGUCACAGCGACAUAAUCACAAUUUCAGUGAGAUCUUUCACAAUCACACAGCAACAAAAAUAAAACAAGACUGGCUGAACUUGGGCACCAGAGUAAUUGUAAAUACUCAGGCAUAAGCAGUCAUUAAUUCACUAUGUAUCCAUCCCUUUUACACAGAACGUUUAACACAGUAAGAAUGACUUUUAAAAUACUGUCGCUUAACUUAACAAAUGUCAGGGCCAUUGUUUAGGCUGAAGGGUUAGAGUUUGUUUCAUGUUUAUCACUUGAUAGACUAUUGCGUUUGAGUAGAUUUCACAAGACCAAUAAAAAAAGGUUUCUUAUAUAUUACCUGGAAGAGUGACUAAACUCCAGCUUUGUGUAGUAAUGACCUUUAGCUCCAGUCUUUACAGCUUGGAUUGGUUGCACAACCUCAGCAAGAAUCGCUUCGGAUCAGCAUUCAGGGAUACUCUAUGGUAUCUACAAUAUUCUUGCAAAUCCCACUGUUGGUAGCAGAGCUGUAAGCAAGCUGGCACACAUGCUCCUUGAAAAUGUUAUUCCCUUUUGGCACAUGUUCUUCAUCACUCAAGUGUCAAGUUUGCACAAAGGGUAGAUGAUUAAAUUGCUUGUGUGAUAUUUGAAAGAAAUGUUAAUGUGACUAUUCAUACUUCAGAUGAGCAGAGAAAAUUAAUCUGAACCAAAGAAGUAUCAAGCUUUCUAUCACCUAUAAAAUUAGCCAAAGAAAAUCUGGACUGUCAUGUACUUAAAAAACACACUAAAUGCAGACAUUUCUAUCUGUCAGAAAUUUCUGAUUUUGAAUAAAUAUUUUGAAUCACACCCUGCUCAAUGAUUUCCAUUUAAAUUGGAAAAUUAUUUUCUAAGAAAUUCUUAACUUGAUACUAUUCAUGUGAUCCUUGUUGGUCUAUAAAGAAUUCUUCCU
ensembl:lncRNA